rnacentral:rRNA from 1 species
GACGAACGCUGGCGGCGUGCCUAAUACAUGCAAGUAGGACGCAGUUGCGAACGGGUGAGUAACGCGUAGGUAACUACCUAUUAGAGGGGGAUAACUAUUGGAAACGAUAGCUAAUACCGCAUACUAGUAGAUGGACCUGCGUUGUAUUAGCUAGUAGGUAGGGGAAUGGGCUAACCAGGCAACGAUACAUAGCCGAACUGGGGAGGUGGACGGCCACAAUGGGACUGGUACACGGGCCAGACUCCUUCGGGGGGGAACAGUAGGGAAUCUUCGGCAAUGGGGGGAACCCUGGACGAGCAACGCCGCGUGAGUGGAGAAGGUUUUCGGAUCGUAAAGCUCUUUUGUUAAGGAAGCGGUACUUAACCAGAAAGGGACGGCUAACUACGUGCCAGCCGCCGCGGUAAUAC